GAGAAAGUAGAUAAGGAAACGUUAUUUACUCCUUGUCUAACAUCACAAGAACUAGGGAUCAUCCAAAGAAAUUCAUAGGCAGCAGGUU